rnacentral:lncRNA from 1 species
GUGGUCAUCUGUCCUCUGGUCAGGAUUCAUCACUUCCUCAAGAAAUAAGCCUGGUGUUCUGUGGGUUUCCCUCGAGGAAAAACAAAAACCAGUUGUGGUAGAGCUAACAAACCAUCUCACAAAGCAGUAAGUGCAUUUCUCUGUAAUUCUUGCACUCGUUACAUGUAUAAUAAUUUUUUCAAGUAGCCUCAGGCAGUGGAUGACAGUUACUUUUUCAUCUGUCCAGCACUGAAGUGAUGAUGCGCUUUGAGAGAUGUCUCAGCUGAGACCUAGGGAACAAUGUAUCUCCAGCUGGAUUUGCAGAAUUUUCUCCUGUGUGUGUCUGUAGUUCAGCUUUUCCUUAUGUUUCUUCCCUCCUUGCUGGGGCUGCCCAGCAGGGCAUGAAUGAGAGCCUCUCUUCAUGACUGCCUGCUGCUCCCCCUCCUGCUCCCACCUCCUUCUCUUUCCUCUGGGCUCAGCCCCUCUUGCCUGUGCUCCUGAGCUCUGCCCCUCCAGUGGGAGCUGCAGGUUUAUCUGGAGGCGAGAAGUCUCAUUUGUAAGCCAAGAUCCAGGGGGAUAGAAACGGUUUGGCUGCCCAGGAGUAAAAAGGAGAGACAGAGCCUGGGCACGAUGACUGUAUUUCCCACUCUUGGGCUUCUCUUCCUUUGUCAGCUAUUAGCCACAACAUCAGCUCAGAGAGUAGGACCACAAGGCCCUCCUGGACCCCGAGGACCCCCUGGACCAUCUGGCAAGGACGGCAUAGAUGUGAGUGCCACAUGGCAGAGGGAGGGAGGGGGUGGAGCAGAGGCAAAGCGAGCUGAGCUGAGAAGUGCUGCUGGUCCUCCUGAGCCUUUGGGCCAUGCUGCAGAGGUGGAUGGAUGUGGAGAGCAAGAUCUUGUCCUGCAAUGGUUAGAACGGAGAAUGGAGGCACUGAGUGGCCUUAUUUCCCUGUAGGAUCCAUAUCCUAUAUCGGGAGACUUCAGGAUAAAGAUAGCAUGUGUACAAGAAUUCACAGCUGUGCCUGCAGAGCUGUGUCUUUCUCUUUUGCUGUCUGGAGAGGAGGCGGAACAAAAUGUGGAAGGUUGAGUGCAUGAAUGUGAUGUGGGUCAGUGUUACUGCAUGUUGUGUAGCUCAGAGGGAUUUGUGAUGCUUCAGAGCAUCCACGUCCAUGGAGAGCCUGAAGAAACUCAACAUGGAUGCUGCUCUUACUUGUGUUUUAUUUCAACAGUCAGUGUGGCAUCUCCAAUCUACACUGAUAUGUGCAAAGUC